CCAAUAGCGUAUAUUAAAGUUGUUGCAGUUAAAAAGCUCGUAGUUGAAUUUCGGGGUCAGUAGGUUGGUCAUGCCACUGGUAUGUACUGGCCUCACUGAUUCCUCCUUCCUGAUGAGCCGUAAUGCCAUUAAUUUGGUGUUGCGAGGAAUCUGGACUGUUACUUUGAAAAAAUUAGAGUGUUUAAAGCAGGCUAACGCUUGAAUACAUUAGCAUGGAAUAAUGAAAUAGGACGUUCGAUCUUAUUUUGUUGGUUUCUAAGAUUGACGUAAUGAUUAAUAGGGAUAGUUGGGGGCAUUAGUAUUCAAUUGUCAGAGGUUAAAUUCUUGGAUUUAUUGAAGACUAACUACUGCGAAAGCAUUUGCCAAGGAUGUUUUCAUUAAUCAAGAACGAAAGUUAGGGGAUCGAAGACGAUCAGAUACCGUCGUAGUCUUAACCAUAAACUAUGCCGACUAGGGAUCGGAUGAUGUUAAUUUUUUAAUGACUCAUUCGGCGCCUUACG
rnacentral:rRNA from 1 species